AGUGAACGCUGGCGGUAGGCCUAACACAUGCAAGUCGAACGGCAGCACAGUAAGAGCUUGCUCUUACGGGUGGCGAGUGGCGGACGGGUGAGGAAUACAUCGGGAUCUACUUUUUCGUGGGGGAUAACGUAGGGAAACUUACGCUAAUACCGCAUACGACCUACGGGUGAAAGCAGGGGAUCUUCGGACCUUGCGCGAUUGAAUGAGCCGAUGUCGGAUUAGCUAGUUGGCGGGGUAAAGGCCCACCAAGGCGACGAUCCGUAGCUGGUCUGAGAGGAUGAUCAGCCACACUGGAACUGAGACACGGUCCAGACUCCUACGGGAGGCAGCAGUGGGGAAUAUUGGACAAUGGGCGCAAGCCUGAUCCAACCAUACCGCGUGGGUGAAGAAGGCCUUCGGGUUGUAAAGCCCUUUUGUUGGGAAAGAAAAGCAGCAGGUUAAUACCCCGCUGUUCUGACGGUACCCAAAGAAUAAGCACCGGCUAACUUCGUG
rnacentral:rRNA from 1 species